rnacentral:rRNA from 1 species
ACCGAAGUUAAGCAACGUCGAGCCCGGUUAGUACUUGGAUGGGUGACCGCCUGGGAAUACUGUUCGGACAGAGCGGUGCUGGUAACAACUGGGCUAAGGG